CAACUUUCAGCAGUGGAUGUCUAGGCUCGCACAUCGAUGAAGAACGCUGCGAACUGCGAUACGUAAUGCGAAUUGCAGAAUUCAGUGAGUCAUCGAAUUUUUGAACGCAUAUUGCACUUCCGGGUUAUGCCUGGAAGUAUGUCUGUAUCAGUGUCCGUACAUUAAACUUGCCUCUCUUUGUCGGUGUAGUCCGGCUUGGAGAAAGAGCAGAUAUGAAGUGUCUCGCGCCAUGCUGGUGAUUUACUGUCGUGGUAAGUUACGAGAGUGCACGAGUCCUUUUAAAUGGGCUACGGUCUUUCUAUUGCGUUGUCACUGAGCGUGUAUUUUGAGCACGGCGAGUCUGUCAAUUGUUUGUGUAAGUUUGCACCAUUGGCGGGAGCAUAUGGAAGAAACCUCUUUUUCGCGGUACGUUAGGCUUCGGCAUGACAAUGUUGUGAGAGAGUGGUGGCUUUCGCUCUUUAGCU
rnacentral:rRNA from 1 species